UACGUAGGCAGCGAGCGUUGUUCGGAGUUACUGGGCGUAAAGAGUGCGUAGGCGGUUUUCUAAGUUUGGUGUGAAAUCUCCCGGCUUAACUGGGAGGGUGCGCCGAAGACUGGAAGGCUUGAGUAUGGGAGAGGUAAGCGGAAUUCCUGGUGUAGCGGUGAAAUUCGUAGAUAUUAGGAAGAACACCGGUGGCGAAGGCGGCCCACUGGAUCGGUACUGACGCUGAGGUGCGAAAGCGUGGGGAGCAAACAGG
rnacentral:rRNA from 1 species